UACGGGGGGGGCAAGCGUUGUUCGGAAUUACUGGGCGUAAAGGGUUUGUAGGUGGCUUGCUAAGUCAGACGUGAAAUCCCUCAGCUUAACUGGGGAACUGCGUCUGAGACUGGCAAGCUCGAGUGCAGGAGAGGAACGCGGAAUUCCAGGUGUAGCGGUGAAAUGCGUAGAUAUCUGGAGGAACACCGGUGGCGAAGGCGGCGUUCUGGACUGCAACUGACACUGAGGAGCGAAAGCAUGGGGAGCGAACAGG
rnacentral:rRNA from 1 species